rnacentral:ncRNA from 1 species
GGGAGCCGUAUGAGCCGAGAGGUUCACGUCCGGUUCUGGGAGCAGCGAGGGGGGAGGUUCCUCUCGUUGACUCACUUUGU